CCCAAAGUUGUGUUUAAGCAAAUGAUGUUGAACUUUUUUAUAAAGCAAAAAAUGGUUUUACUGUCAACAUUAUUUUUAUUAUGGCUGACUAAUACAUGUAACACCUUUUCAUGUUAUAGUUGCUCUGCAUAUAAAAAAUGGGAUUGUAAUCAAGUCCAAUCGCUAAAAUACUGCGAUAAAGGGAAAGAACAAUGUAUAACAAUUUCCUACGAGUACGAAAUGUUUAUUAAUAUAAAUAAAACAACAAUCAACACCAUUUAUAAAAAACAUUGCGUAGAUAAGUUUACGAGUUGCAAAUCACAUUGUCGUUUAUUGGAGAUAACCGGUGAAAAAAAUUGCAUGGCAACCUGUUGUAAUACAUCGGGCUGUAAUAAAGAUGGCUAUAAAAAUUCAUCGGUUUCACUUUUAAACAACGUAUUUAGCACAACUUUAUCUUAUGUAACUUUUUUAGUUUUUAUCUUAAUAUUGAUUUGAUAACAUUUCUCACUUUUUCA
rnacentral:lncRNA from 1 species